rnacentral:rRNA from 1 species
CGGGGACUCGGCAAAAUUACCUCGUAACUUCGGAAGAAGAGGUACCCCUUCACGGGGGUUGCAAUAGAUUGACCCUGGCGACUGUUUACCAAAAACACAGGUCUCCGCUAAUUUGUAAGAAAAAGUAUGGGGGCUGACGCCUGCCCAGUGCCGGAAGGUUAAAGGAGUUGGUUAGUCCUUGGACAAAGCUAGCGACUGAAGCCCCGGUGAACGGCGGCCGUAACAAUAACGGUCCUAAGGUAGCGAAAUUCCUUGUCGGGUAAGUUCCGACCCGCACGAAAGGCGUAACGAUCAGGGUACUGUCUCGGAGAGAGGCUCGGCGAAAUAGACAUGUCUGUGAAGAUGCGGACUACCUGCACCUGGACAGAAAGACCCUAUGAAGCUUUACUGUAUCUUGGAAUUGGGUUUGGUCUUUGCAUGCGCAGGAUAGGUGGGAGGCUUUGAAGAUGAUCUUGCGGGGUCGUUGGAGCCACUGGUGAGAUACCACCCUUGCAAUGAUAAAAUCCUAACUUUGAACCGUUAUCCGGUCAAAGAACAGUUUCAGGUGGGCAGUUUGACUGGGGCGGUCGCCUCCUAAAAGGUAACGGAGGCGUGCAAAGGUUCCCUCAGGCUGGUUGGACAUCAGUCGUAGAGUGUAAAGGCAUAAGGGAGCUUGACUGCGAGACCAACAAGUCGAGCAGAGACGAAAGUCGGCCUUAGUGAUCCGGCGCUUCCGAGUGGAAGGGGCGUCGCUCAACGGAUAAAAGUUACACUAGGAUAACAGGCUGAUCUCCCCCAAGAGUUCACAUCGACGGGGAGGUUUGGCACCUCGAUGUCGGCUCAUCGCAUCCUGGGGCGGUAGUACGUCCCAAGGGUUGGGCUGUUCGCCCAUGAAAGCGGUACGCGAGCUGGGUUCAGAACGUCGUGAGACAGUUCGGUCCAUAUCCGGUGCAGGCGUUAGAGUAUUGCGAAGACUCCUCCUUAGUACGAGAGGACCGGGGGGAAUGCACCGCUGGUGUACCAGUUAUCGUGCCAACGGUAAACGCUGGGUAGCCAAGUGCAGUUUGGAUAACUGCUGAAAGCAUCUAAGUAGGAAGCCAGCUUCAAGAUGAGUACUCUCACCGCUUCAAGCGGGUAAGAUCACGGCAAGAACAGCCGUUUGAUAGGCAUCAAGUGUAAGUGCAGUAAUGUAUUCAGCUGAGAUGUACUAAUAGAUCGAGGGCUUAUUAUC